CAGUCGCCACGGUAAUACGGAGGGAGCUAGCGUUGUUCGGAAUUACUGGGCGUAAAGCGCACGUAGGCGGUUAUUCAAGUCAGAGGUGAAAGCCCGGGGCUCAACCCCGGAACUGCCUUUGAAACUAGAUGACUGGAAUCUUGGAGAGGUCAGUGGAAUUCCGAGUGUAGAGGUGAAAUUCGUAGAUAUUCGGAAGAACACCAGUGGCGAAGGCGACUGACUGGACAAGUAUUGACGCUGAGGUGCGAAAGCGUGGGGAGCAAACAGGAUUAGAUACCCGCGUAGUCCCUGUCUCUUAUAA
rnacentral:rRNA from 1 species